AGCGUGCACGUCAUCUGGUAAACAAGUUCUGGAGCGACGUGAACGUUAACAGACUGAAUACGACUUUGGUUGCUGCAGCAGCAAGAAGAUGAAGAGGACGGCUGCCACUACAUUGAUGUGAGGGACUACAAAUUUACUCUCCACUCAUGAAAUUGGAGUACACGAUGCUCUGUGCUGUGACUGCAUAUUAAAUAGAGGGUUUGUAUUGUAUGAAUUCAAAAACUUUAAUAUAAAACAACUGUAUUACCAGUUUGGUUUGUGUACAGGUCUAUGGAGUGACAAGGUGAUGUUCCAGUGUCUGUACUGGAUAAGUGCUUGAUGAUUCGGUGGACUGCCGCUAUGUGGUUAAGAGACUGAAAUAAUGUUGUGCUUGUUUCUCUUCUUAUCUGCUUUGCCACAUUUCUUUCACUUCUAAUUACUGAGUCUUUGCUUCGGGUUUGAUACCUGAAGGCUCCACCCUAAAAUGGGUGGAUUAGAUUGGAAUCUCUGAUUAUUUACGCUGAUUAGAUUUGUAAACAGCAUAUUCCAUUAAUAUUAAUUACAUUGCGCUGCAUAUAUGAGAUGAUUUUUGAGCUGAGGCUUCCUAAAAGUUUGAAUGUAAUCGUCCCUGUCCGUGCACGAUCGAAAGUAGACAUACAGGCUCAAAUACAUGCACUCCCACCCGUAUAUGAUGUCCUUUAGCAACCCGAACCUGGACCAGACACUUUUGGUAUGUCCAUGUGGGCAGCUUCUUUCUUGAUGAUUUAAAACUUGCUUCACUGUAAACAGUGAUUCUGGUUUUCCUGCAGGUUCCAGUUCAUGGCAGGCUUGAACAUCAGUGGUCCCUGCAUUGUUGCUGAACAUCCAGAUUGGUUUCCUCCCAUCUGAGCAUCAUGGUUUGAGUCUUAUACCACAGUAGAGUGGUGAAAUAUUUGCAUAACUUGGACUUAUGUAUAUGUUACAAAGUACAAGAAGUGAUGAUCUUUCUUUUUUUCACAUCCAGUCCACUGUCAUUAAAAAUAAACACUACUUUAUUAAAUGAAAAAAA